GAUCCUGGCUCAGGAUGAACGCUGACAGAAUGCUUAACACAUGCAAGUCUACUUGAACUUCGGUUUGGGUGGCGGACGGGUGAGUAACGCGUAAAGAACUUGCCUCACAGAUAGGGACAACAUUUGGAAACGAAUGCUAAUACCUGAUAUUAUGAUUUUAGGGCAUCCUAAAAUUAUGAAAGCUAUAUGCGCUGUGAGAGAGCUUUGCGUCCCAUUAGCUAGUUGGAGAGGUAACGG
rnacentral:rRNA from 1 species